CGCACUCCAAGGCCCGGAUUCGAUCCCCACCUCAUGACCUCCGGAUUGGCGCAGGGGGCGACGAGGCGGUGGUGCGUCGCGAGGGGAAGCGACGGUGCAGCACGAGACGGCGGCGGCUGCUCCCAUCCAUCGUCCAUGCUCUUCGCCACCUUCUCGCCGUUCUUGGCGGCGGUGUUCCUCCUCCGGGCUUAUCCUCUUGGCCUUCGCGUCGCCGUCCCCCAUGGCGGGAUCUCCUCUCCGGACACAGGCCUGCUGCUAUUGGAUCGGCACGGCAAACAAAGAAAUAAAAUCCUCACGAAACCUAACUAGGAAAGCACUUUGUGAUGGCCGUCGUGCUCGCUGACUCGUUCAAGUACCUGUGCCGUGCAGUGGAGCUGAUCCAUGAUCAUUAGUUAUCCUAUUCCAUGCAGAAAAUUAUCUUGUGUUUUUCUGUUCUGUAAAGUUUUUUGUUUGCUUAGCUCCAAUCCCGUUUUGUUCUGCAUGAAUGAACCUCAAUGUUCUGUGAAGAAAGCUCGGAUAGCAUCGUGUCAGUUUGUGUUAGUCUUCAGGCAUCACCACCAUUCUUUAAUCCUUUGCCUACUUUCUACAAAGCUAACUACGGUUGAUGCUUAGCUACUUGCAAAGACUGAAGGAUGCUGCGCCUAUGCUCAUAGGAGUUGACAGUUUCAGACAUGAGUUGGUAGGCUUUCAUGCAUCUACUAGCCUUGCUUGUUGAUUCAGUUCCUGUCUGAACACUCCGCUGUUAUCACAACUCCAGUUACUUGCUUUUAACCAUCUACUUGCUGUGAGGGAGUUCAUGUGCUA